rnacentral:rRNA from 1 species
CCUACGGGAGGCAGCAGUGGGGGAUAUUGCACAAUGGGGGAAACCCUGAUGCAGCGACGCCGCGUGGGUGAAGAAGCGCCUCGGCGCGUAAAGCCCUGUCAGCAGGGAAGAAAAUGACGGUACCUGAAGAAGAAGCCCCGGCUAACUACGUGCCAGCAGCCGCGGUAAUACGUAGGGGGCAAGCGUUAUCCGGAUUUACUGGGUGUAAAGGGGGCGCAGACGGCAAUGCAAGCCAGGAGGUAAAGCCCGGGGCCCAACCCCGGGACUGCUCUUGGAACUGCGUGGCUAGAGUGCAGGAGGGGCAGGCGGAAUUCGUGGUGUAGCGGUGAAAUGCGUAGAUAUCAGGAGGAACACCGGUGGCGAAGGCGGCCUGCUGGACUGCAACUGACGUUGAGGCCCGAAAGCGUGGGGAGCAAACAGGAUUAGAUACCCCUGUAGUC